CGAGUUCAAGCCAUGACCGGCCGUAAUCAAACAUCAAACCCCGAACCAAACGGCGUUCGGGAUUGUAAUCUCUGUUCCCUCCGCGAGAUGGUCUCCGAAGGCGGACGGCGAGCGGCCGCGAAUGCUUUUGGCUGUCGCUCGCAAGAAUGGUUUGGUAAGCUAUCACUUAUCAAAUGGCAUGACUUUUUUCCUCUUUGCCUCAGCUGUUGAAAUAUGAGAGAGACUACAAAUUCCAGGUCGGUUGCAUUACUUGUCUUGAAAAGGGGAAUGCUUGCUUGAGGUCUAUUUCCUUCGGAGAUGCAGCACAAAAUUUGAGUAUGUUUUCACAUACUACAUGGAACAUGUGCUCUGCUGGUAAAAUGCUAUGUACUUCAGUAGAUAGACGCAAGAAUUAUGCCUUAUUUGGAGGGAAGGGUGUUGAAUUGAACUUGUGGGAUCUUGAAAACUGUAGCAAGAUCUGGACUGCAAAGCCUCCUCCCUCCAACAGCCUUGGUAUAUUCUAUCCAACUUGGUUUACUACUGCAACUUUUCUGAGUGAAGACAUCGAAAAAUUGUGGCUGGGAUGAACAAUUAUCAGGAUCGUCUUUAUGAUACUUCAGAACAAAGGAGACCUGUAAUUUCAGUUGACUUUCGAGAGACACCAAUUAAGUCAGUUUGUGAUGAUCCAGAUGGCUAUACAGUCGAUGUAGGAAAUGGUUCUGGCUUCUGGGGACCUUGCUUCAUUUAAUAUGAGGACAGGAAAAUUGCUGGGAUGCUUUAUUGGUAAGUGCUCUGGAAGCAUCAGAUCAAUAGCGAGGCAUCCAGAAUUUCCCAUGAUAGCAUCUUGUGGAAAGACUUGUAUCCUAUUAAUUCAAUAUAUUCAGUUAAUUUUACAUACUUCUACCAUUUUAUUAAGUGCUGUUCUGAGUUUCCUCAAAAAAUAGUGGUCCAUAUUGAAGCAUUUAGUUCAGUUCAGUUCAGAUGUUGAUACAAGCAAUAUGAUUGAUCACAAACUAUCCACAUACAAGAAAAUCUAGAGUUGAUAUAAAAGCAAGGUUUUAAAAUAACUGGAUAGACCAACCAAGCACCAAUUAGAAAGGGCUGGGAAUAUGAGAGUUGGUUUCAGCCUGGGUACCUUGAUAGACUUGGCAUCUGAUGGACAUGAUAUGUAACAUUUGGAUGUAUGGCUUUAGUAGCUUUUCAUUGAUCAAUCAAAGAAUGGUAGUUAUUCUAUAAUGUUUGUUCCAUAAUGGUAGUUAUUCUAUGAACAGUGUUUUUUAAAUGUACAUAUAAUGGUUUUCCAUUUCCCUUUUCUGCCUUAUGCCUAUCAGUCAAAAGUUGAUAUCCUUUCACAAGAACAUGAAAUUCUCACAUCCACUUGAUCAAAGCACUCUUUUCAAUGGUAUUAGCUUUAUCAGGAUGUUUUAACUCCUUUUUUAUACACCCACCUAGAAUGCUUUCAUCUUCUGUCGUUGUUGUUUACUUAGAUGCAUCAAAUAUUGCUUCAUAUCACUAAAACAGACCUUUUAUUUGAUCCAGCAUGCGGGUACACCAAGAUAGUUUCUUGGCAAAACAUAAGCUACUCAUGAACCACCAUCAAAUAUUGCUCAAUAUCACUAACACAGACCUUUUAUUUGAUCCAGCAUGCAGGUACACCAAGAUAGUUUCUUGGCAAAACAUAAGCUACUCAUGAACCACCAUCAAAUAUUGCUUCAUAUCACUAACACAGACUUUUUAUUUGAUCCAGCAUGCGGGUAAACCAAGAUAGUUUCUUGGCAAAACAUAAGCUACUCAUGAACCACCACCAAACCAACAGUUCAUGUUGUCAGGAACCUGCUGAACCAUUUGGUUGAUGCUUUGAGAUGGCGAUCGAAGCCAUUGUUGUAGUCGAUGUAUGCCAGCCCGAACCGCUCGGUGUAGCCUUUGUCCCACUCGAAGUUAUCAGUCAGAGACCAUGUGAAGUGGCCCUUCACCCGAACUCCCUCUCUGCAAUGAUCCAAGUUUGAAAAGGGUUCUGUGGAGGAAUCACCUACGGUGCACCCAAACCACCUGGAGCAUCUCCCAGGUGCAUGACGGCCAAAAGUAUACCCCAUGCUGCUAAAGCUCCAUGGCUCGUUCAGUGUGAUCCAGUGCUUGACUCUGUCUCCGAAUUCUUCAAAGCAUAUGUUUGCAAAAUCCUUGAAAUCAUUCCUGUAUGACGAUAACGAGAAGAAGAUGGAACAUGAAGGAUAUCCUUUUUUUGGGGAUAGUAGAGCAGAUGGAGAAAAGAUUACUUGGCAAUAUCCUUGACCAGGAAAUGGAGAACCUGUAGGAGUCCAAGCCCAUUUCUUUCGUCAGUUUCACAUCUUCCUGCAGUAUGUUGUUGUUACUGUUUGUGUGCAAAGUGAAGAGUGCCGUGAAGAGAGCUUGGCCUUCUUGGCUUCAGGAAUAACUUACCUUGUACUUGUUGUAUGAAUCAGUUGCCUUGUCUCCAUUGCUCCCGUCUUGGAUCUUCCCUGGAAGACACAAAGUGUUACCAACAAGGUUCAAUCUCUAUCAAACCCUAUCGGUCUGUACAAUCAAUCUUCAAGAUGCUAAUAUUUACGUAUGAGUGGAAAUGAUAUCUUGGAGUGUCUA